rnacentral:lncRNA from 1 species
AUGAUAUAUAAUACUGAUAAAGGUACUCAAGAAGAAAGGUGGUAUCAUAAGGAGCAUGCUGUGCUGUGCUUAGCCACUCAGCCGUGUCCGACUCUUUGCGACCCCAUGAACUGUAGCCCACCAGGCACCUCUGUCCAUGGGGAUUCUCCAGGCAAGAAGACUGAAGUGGGUUGCCAUGCCCUCCUCCAGGGGAUCUUCCCAACCCAGGGAUCGAACCCAGGUCUCCCACAUUGCAGGCAGAUUCUUCACCGACUGAGCCACCAGGGAACCCCAGGAAUACUGGAGUGGGUAGUCUACCCUUUCUCCAGGGAAUCUUCCUGACCCAGAAAUUGAACCAGGGUCUCCUGCACUGCAGGUGAAUUCUUUACCAGCUGAGCUACUAGGGAAGCCCUCAUAAGGAGCAUGUGCCACCUCAAAUCCUUGGAUUUGUGAAAAGGCAGGUUAUAGAUAGGUGUUUGGGGUGGGGUGUGUAUUUUAUUAUAUUUUAUAUAUAACUUUUAUAUAACCUAUUAUUGGGUUGGCCAAAAAGUUCAUUUGGGUUUUUCUGUUGCCAUGUAAUGAAAAAAUCCUGAAAGAACUUUUUGGUCAACCCAAUGUAAUGAAGUACAGGUCACAUAUAAACAUUUAAGUAAACAACAAGUAAAUAUAAUAUAUUAAACAUAUAUAUUUAAAUGAAGACAAUCAGUCUCAAACUAUGUAU